CCUACGGGUGGCAGCAGUGGGGAAUAUUGCACAAUGGGGGAAACCCUGAUGCAGCGAAGCAGCGUGAGUGAAGAAGUAACUCGUUAUGUAAAGCUCCAUUAGUAGGGAAGAAAAUGACGGUACCUGAGUAAGAAGCCCCGGACAACUACGUGCCAGCAGCCGUGGUAAUACGGAGGGGGCAAGCGUUAUCCGGAUUUACUGGGCGUAAGGGGAGCGUAGACGGCAGAGCAAGUCUGGAGUGAAAGGGGGGGGCUCAACCCCCGGACUGCUAUGGAAACUGUACGGCUGGAGUGCAGGGGAGGUAAGUGGAAUUCCUGGUGUAGCGGUGAAAUGCGUAGAUAUUAGGAAGAACACCAGUGGCGAAGGCGGCUUACUGAACUGUAACUGACGUUGAGGCUCGAAAGCGUGGGGAGCAAACAGGAUUAGAUACCCCGGUAGUC
rnacentral:rRNA from 1 species